rnacentral:misc_RNA from 1 species
CCACCAAAAAGAAUCCCAGGAUGGCAAGCAAAAGUCUAAUAACAAAGUGAGCAAGACAAAGAAGAAAGAGAAACGAGAAAGAGAGCCAAGGUUUUCCUUCUUGACCAAGAGUGAGAUUGAUCACCUUGAAGAUGGUUACAGAUGGAGAAAGUACGGCCAGAAGGCAGUCAAGAAUAGUCCUUAUCCAAGAAGCUAUUACAGAUGCACCAGUCAGAAGUGCACAGUGAAGAAACGAGUAGAGAGAUCAUUCCAAGACCCAUCAAUUGUGAUCACAACUUAUGAAGGGAAACAUAACCAUCAAUGUCCAGCGACUCUUCGAGCUAAUACUGCAGCAGGACUUCUGGCAUCCACAUCAUCCAUGGCCCGUCAAAGCUUUCCUCAGGAGCUCUUGGCCCGCUUGCUUCCUCCCCAUGAUAAUAUUAAUAACCAAUGUGACCCUACUGCACCCAUGUUCUAUCAACACCUUAAUGCCCCACAAAAGCAGGCGCAACAGCAGCAGCUUCAUCUUCUUCCUGAUUAUGGCCUAUUGCAAGAUUUUGUUCCCUCUACCUUCCUCCCAAAACAGCACCCGUGAACUCCUAUCAGUCAUUUUUUUCACUAAUUUAUGUUCGCAGAUUUUUAUGGAUGAACUAAUUCCAUGCAUAUAUGUAUUCUCCAUCUUCCAAUCAGG